rnacentral:rRNA from 1 species
CGGAGGAAAAGAAACCAACAGGGAUUGCCUCAGUAACGGCGAGUGAAGCGGCAACAGCUCAAAUUUGAAAGCUGGCUCCUUCGGGGCCCGCGUUGUAAUUUGUAGAGGAUGCUUCGGGUGCGGCUCCGGUCUAAGUUCUCUGGAACGAGACGUCAUAGAGGGUGAGAAUCCCGUAUGUGACCGGCGGCUUGCGCCCAUGUGAAGCUCCUUCGACGAGUCGAGUUGUUUGGGAAUGCAGCUCUAAAUGGGAGGUGUACUCCUUCUAAAGCUAAAUAUUGGCCAGAGACCGAUAGCGCACAAGUAGAGUGAUCGAAAGAUGAAAAGCACUUUGGAAAGAGAGUUAAACAGUACGUGAAAUUGUUGAAAGGGAAGCGCUUGCAAUCAGACUUGCGCGGCGCCGAUCAGCCUGGGUUCUCCCUGGUGCACUCGGCGCCGCUCAGGCCAGCAUCAGUUUCGGCGGUGGGAUAAAGGCCUAGGGAACGUGGGUCGCCUCGGCGACCGUUAUAGCCCUAGGUGCAAUGCCGCCUGCCGGGACUGAGGACCGCGCUUCGGCUAGGAUGCUGGCGUAAUGGUUGUAAGCGACCCGUCUUG